rnacentral:rRNA from 1 species
AUUGAACGCUGGCGGCAGGCUUAACACAUGCAAGUCGAGCGGGGGAAGGUAGCUUGCUACCGGACCUAGCGGCGGACGGGUGAGUAAUGCUUAGGAAUCUGCCUAUUAGUGGGGGACAACAUCUCGAAAGGGAUGCUAAUACCGCAUACGUCCUACGGGAGAAAGCAGGGGGUCUUCGGACCUCGCGCUAAUAGAUGAGCCUAAGUCGGAUUAGCUAGUUGGUGGGGUAAAGGCCUACCAAGGCGACGAUCUGUAGCGGGUCUGAGAGGAUGAUCCGCCACACUGGGACUGAGACACGGCCCAGACUCCUACGGGAGGCAGCAGUGGGGAAUAUUGGACAAUGGGGGGAACCCUGAUCCAGCCAUGCCGCGUGUGUGAAGAAGGCCUCAUGGUUGUAAAGCACUUUAAGCGAGGAGGAGGCUACUCUAGUUAAUACCUAGGGAUAGUGGACGUUACUCGCAGAAUAAGCACCGGCUAACUUCGUGCCAGCCGCCGCGGUAA